AUUGAACGCUGGCGGAAUGCUUUACACAUGCAAGUCGAACGGCAGCACGGGGCAACCUGGUGGCGAGUGGCGAACGGGUGAGUAAUACAUCGGAACGUGCCCAAUCGUGGGGGGAUAACGUAGCGAAAGUUACGCUAAUACCGCAUACGAUCUACGGAUGAAAGCGGGGGAUCGCAAGACCUCGCGCGAGUGGAGCGGCCGAUGUCAGAUUAGGUAGUUGGUGGGGUAAAGGCUCACCAAGCCAACGAUCUGUAGCUGGUCUGAGAGGACGACCAGCCACACUGGAACUGAGACACGGUCCAGACUCCUACGGGAGGCAGCAUGGGGAAUUUUGGACAAUGGCGCAAGCCUGAUCCAGCCAUUCCGCGUGCAGGAUGAAGGCCUCGGUG
rnacentral:rRNA from 1 species